rnacentral:rRNA from 1 species
AUUGAACGCUGGCGGCAGGCCUAACACAUGCAAGUCGAACGAGUGGCGGACGGGUGAGUAACGUCUGGGACACUGCUAGAUGGAGGGGGAUAAUUACUGGAAACGGUAGCUAAUACCGCAUACCAUCGGAUGUGCCCAGCUGGGAUUAGCUAGUAGGUGGGGUAAAGGCUAACCUAGGCGACGAUCCCUAGCUGGUAUGAGAGGAUGACCAGCAACACUGGAACUGAGACACGGUCCAUACUCCGACGGGAGGCAGCAGUGGGGAAUAGUGCGCAAUGGGCGCAAGCCUGAAGCAGCCAUGCCGCGUGUAUGAUGAGGGUCUUCGGGUUGUAAAGUUCUGUCAGCGGGGAGGCGUUACCCGCAGAAGAAGCACCGGCUAACUCCGUGCCAGCAGCCGCGGUAAUUC